GCGGGCGGCGUGCCUACACAUGCAAGUCGAACGAGAAAGUGGGGGCAACUCCAUGAGUAAAGUGGCAGACGGGUGAGUAACACGUGAACAACCUACCCUCGAGUGUGGAAUAACACCGCGAAAGCGGUGCUAAUACCGCAUAACAUCUUCGGGUCGCAUGAUUUGGAGAUCAAAAGCGCAAGUUGCUUGAGGAGGGGUUCGCGCCUGAUUAGCUAGUUGGUGAGGUAACGGCCCACCAAGGCAACGAUCAGUAGCCGGCCUGAGAGGGCGAACGGCCACACUGGAACUGAGACACGGUCCAGACUCCUACGGGAGGCAGCAGUGGGGAAUUUUGCGCAAUGGGCGAAAGCCUGACGCAGCAACGCCGCGUGGAGGAUGAAGGUCUUCGGAUCGUAAACUCCUGUCGAUGGGGAAGAAUGCUUCGCAAGAAGUUUGACUGUACCCGUUGAGGAAGCCACGGCUAACUCCGUGCCAGCAGCCGCGGUAAUACGGAGGUGGCAAGCGUUGUUCGGAAUUACUGGGCGUAAAGGGCGCGUAGGCGGCUUUGCAAGUCAGAUGUGAAAGCCCCGGGCUUAACUCGGGAAUUGCAUCUGAAACUGCUUAGCUUGAGUUCUGGAUGGGGUAGUGGAAUUCCCAGUGUAGCGGUGAAAUGCGUAGAUAUUGGGAGGAACACCUGCGGCGAAGGCGGCUACCUGGACAGUGACUGACGCUGAGGCGCGAAAGCUAGGGGAGCGAACGGGAUUAGAUACCCCGGUAGUCCUAGCUGUAAACGAUGGGCACUUGGUGUUGGGGGCAUUGAGUCCCUCGGUGCCGGAGUUAACACGUUAAGUGCCCCGCCUGGGGAGUACGGUUCGCAGACUGAAACUCAAAU
rnacentral:rRNA from 1 species